UACGGGGGAGCAAGCGUUGUUCGGAUUUACUGGGCGUAAAGGGCGCGUAGGCGGUCAGCACAAGUCAGUUGUGAAAUCUCCGGGCUUAACUCGGAAAGGUCAACUGAUACUGUGCGACUAGAGUGCAGAAGGGGCAACUGGAAUUCUCGGUGUAGCGGUGAAAUGCGUAGAUAUCGAGAGGAACACCUGCGGCGAAGGCGGGUUGCUGGGCUGACACUGACGCUGAUGCGCGAAAGCGUGGGUAGCAAACAGG
rnacentral:rRNA from 1 species